AUUGAACGCUGGCGGCAGGCCUAACACAUGCAAGUCGAGCGAGCGGAGGACGGGUGAGUAAUGUAUGGGGACUGCCCGAUAGAGGGGGAUAACUAAUGGAAACGGUAGCUAAUACCGCAUACAAUCGGAUAACCCAUAUGUGAUUGUCUAGUAGGUGAGGUAAUGGCUCACUUAGGCGACGAUCCCUAGCUGGUCUGAGAGGAUGAUCAGCCACACUGGUACUGAGACGCGGCCCAGACUCCUGCGGAGGCAGCAGGGGGGAAUAUUGCACAAUGGGCGCAAGCCUGAUGCAGCCAUGCCGCGGGUAUGAAGAAGGCCCUAGGGUUGUAAAGUCCUUUCAGUCGGGAGGCGUUACCGACAGAAGAAGCACCGGCUAACUCCGUGCCAGCAGCCGCGGUAAUUC
rnacentral:rRNA from 1 species